rnacentral:rRNA from 1 species
GUAGGUGGCAAGCGUUGUCCGGAAUUAUUGGGGCGUAAAGCGCGCGCAGGCGGUUCUUUAAGUCUGAUGUGAAAGCCCACGGGCUCAACCGUGGAGGGUCAUUGGAAACUGGAGAACUGAGUACAGAAGAGGAAAGCGGAAUUCCACGUGUAGCGGUGAAAUGCGUAGAGAUGUGGAGGAACACCAGUGGCGAAGGCGGCUUUCUGGUCUGUAACUGACGCUGAGGCGCGAAAGCGUGGGGAGCAAACAGGAUUAGAUACCCUGGUAGUCCACGCCGUAAACGAUGAGUGCUAAGUGUUAGGGGGUUUCCGCCCCUUAGUGCUGCAGCUAACGCAUUAAGCACUCCGCCUGGGGAGUACGGCCGCAAAGGCUG